rnacentral:SRP_RNA from 1 species
GCUAGGUGUGGUGGUGCACUCCUGUAGUCCCAGCUACUAGGGAGGCUGAGGUGGGAGGAUUGCUUGAGCCCAGGAGGUUGAGGCUGCAGUGAGCCGUGAUUGUGCCACUGUGCUCUAGCCUGAGUGACAGAGCGAGACCCUGUCUCUC